GGUUGUGGCUCAGUGGUAGAGCGCUUGUCUUCGCACGUGCAGUACUCUGGGUUCGAUCCUCAGCACCA
rnacentral:tRNA from 1 species